rnacentral:rRNA from 1 species
AUUGAACGCUGGCGGCAGGCUUAACACAUGCAAGUCGAGCGGGGUGAUGGUGCUUGCACUAUCACUUAGCGGCGGACGGGUGAGUAAUGCUUAGGAAUCUGCCUAUUAGUGGGGGACAACAUCUCGAAAGGGAUGCUAAUACCGCAUACGUCCUACGGGAGAAAGCAGGGGAUCACUUGUGACCUUGCGCUAAUAGAUGAGCCUAAGUCGGAUUAGCUAGUUGGUGGGGUAAAGGCCUACCAAGGCGACGAUCUGUAGCGGGUCUGAGAGGAUGAUCCGCCACGAUGGGACUGAAAAACGGCCCAGAAUCCUAGGGGAGGCAGGCGUGGGGAAUAUUGGACAAGGUGGGGAAGCCUGAUCCAGCUAUGCCGCGUGUGUGAAGAAUGCCUUAUGGUUGUAAAGCACUUUAAGCGAGGAGGAGGCUCUUUUGGUUAAUACCCAAGAUGAGUGGACGUUACUCGCAGAAUAAGCACCGGCUAACUCUGUGCCAGCAGCCGCCGUAA